rnacentral:rRNA from 1 species
AAUAUUGCACAAUGGGGGAAACUCUGAUGCAGCGACGCCGCGCGAGUGAAGAAGUAUUUCGGUAUGAAAAGAUCUAUCAGCAGGGACGAAAAUGACGGUACCUGACUAAGAAGCCUCGGCUAACUACGUGCCAUCAGCCGCGGUAAUACGUAGGGGGCAAGCGUUAUCCGGAGUUACUGGGUGUAAAGGGAGCUGAGGUGGCAAAUCAAGUCAGAUGUGAAAGCCCAGGGGUCAACUCCUGGAUUGCAUUUGAAACUGGUAUGCUAGAGUGCAGGAGAGGUAAGUGGAAUUCCUAGUGUAGCGGUGAAAUGCGUAGAUAUUAGGAGGAACACCAGUGGCGAAGGCGGCUUACUGGACUGUAACUGACACUGAGGCUCGAAAGCGUGGGGAGCAAAC